rnacentral:lncRNA from 1 species
AGAAUAUUCGUCACAAAUAACAAUGGAGAAUUUGAAGUAAUAAUUACAGAUCUGAGUGUAAUGGAUGCUGGCAUAUACAGAUGUGGUUUCAGUAGUUUCCCUCACACAUAUGAGUAUGUGGAAAUUACCGUUUCUGAUCUAAGUGGAGUAAACACAGCUCCUCUCUCGCCAAAAUCCAACAUUAAAGCAGCAGUCUGGCCGUCGUCUUCUCCCUCUGCACCCAUUGUUUCUGAGAAUGACGCAGAGACACUCAGGUAAAUUUUGUCACAAAUAUGAACCCCUUACAAUUCCAACUUUUAACAGUUAUUAAUCUGUGUAACACAAUACAUUAAGCAGUGACAGCUGGAGAACAUCCUACAAUCUAGCUGCUGUUUUUAGCGUUCUGGUGUUUGCUGUCAUCUCAAUGACACUGCUUGUGUAUUGUCUAAAGACCAGGAAGAAAAAAUCCACAGGUAGGUGAAAGGACAAUGAUUAUUUUUAAUCACCUAAGGAUUUUUUUU